rnacentral:rRNA from 1 species
UGGCGACGGGUGAGUAACGCGUGGAAAACCUGCCGUAUACUGGGGGAUAACACUUAGAAAUAGGUGCUAAUACCGCAUAAGCUCACAGCUUCGCAUGAAGCGGUGUGAAAAACUCUGGUGGUAUACGAUGGUUCCGCGUCUGAUUAGCUAGUUGGUGGGGUAAUGGCCUACCAAGGCAACGAUCAGUAGCCGGCCUGAGAGGGUGAACGGCCACAUUGGGACUGAGACACGGCCCAAACUCCUACGGAAGGCAGCAG